GGAUAAACAAGAGUAGUAAAUUAGUGGCUGACUUUAUUUUUCACUUUGUUAUUAAAAACAAUUGUAACUGGUGCUUUGACAUGAAUUAUCCUAUGGAUAUUCAUGAGCUUAUUAUGGUGGAUGCAAUAUAUUGAGUGGGAUCUUUUAUUGUCUUUUUCUUUAAAAAAAUGACUUGUUUUUACUGAUAGCAGAAAGAAGGAAGCUUAUUUUUUUAUUUUUCUCCAAGAUUUUUAAGCAUUCAGUUCUUGGUUUUCGGUGGGUGUUGUGUCCAUCUUUAUUCUUGCUAAAAGAAUAAUUAGAUUGUUGAGUGAGGUAGGUUGUCCUUGCAUUUAGUGGGGUUUUAUUUUUGUUGUGGUGGCGUGCCGUUCGAGGUUGUACGAUCGUGGCAUAUGUGGUUGGCCCAGAACUUCAUAGCCUGAAUUAGGUUCUGCUCGAUGGGAAAGAAAGUCGUUCUUGUAAAGGUUUUGUCGUAUCUUUGCCAUCAUUAACUCUUUUCCUAAAAGAUAUGUAGGUGUGCAUGGUUUUGUCCUUUUAUCAUACAAGUUUCUUUGAUUUAAUUUUACAUGGCAUGCCAUUAAUGGAAAAUUUUCCCUUUGAAUUUUCUACGAUAUUAUUAAAUCUGAUCAUUCUUUUACUAUUUUUCAUAGAGUGCAUUUAUUUUAUGUGUUUUCUCGUUCUCUUAUUAGGUUUUUUUGUCUCUUCUUGGUUUUUUAAAAAAAAGUUAGGUAGGGUUUAGUAGUUUUAUAUAGGUUUUUUAGUAUCAUUUCUUGUUAUCUUUUCUUGUGUUCGUCUACCUAGGUUCUGGGGUUUUUUGAGUUUUUUCUUGUCCUAGUUGCAAGGGAGAGUUCGCUGGGGUUUCAGAGGUUUUCAGGUGAGUUUCUUUGUGACUUGGCUUCUUGGCUGUGUUUUUAGUGUGAUUCGCGUUUUCUUCUCUUUCUUAUUUCCUCUUCCCCUAUUAUACGACCCUGCCUCGAAAAUAUAUUUGGUUCAAUUCAUCAAGCGCCAUUCGAAAACUUUUGCAAGCUGAACUAGCUUGUUCCAGCUCCAUGGAACUCAAUUCGAGCUGAUAGCUCGUUGAGCUUAAUUCGCUUUUAUUUAAUUUUAUGCAUUUUUUUAUUUGCUGAAAUAAAUCAAAUGAGUUAAUUUAUUAGCUUUAGUUCGGCUCAAAUAAGUGUUAGUAAAUUAAUUUGUUUAAAUCUUUAGUAAAUUAAUUUAUUUAAAUCUGAACAUCUUUAAUAUUUCUUGAGUUUAAUUGAUCGUGUUUUAUUUAGUAUAGCAAUUUAAUAUGUCUUAGUUAGCUCAUUACAUUAUUUAAUAUGUCUAGUUACUACCGAAAUUUAAUGUGCCUUCUGCCAUAUUUAAUGAGUCUUUAGCUUCAGCCGAAUUUAUGAGCAUAUUUAUUGAUUAAGUUGCUGCCAAUUUAAUUUGUCUUAAGAUGCUGAUUUAUUACGUCUAAGUCAGCCGAAUUUAAAGACCAAUUUAAUGUGCAGGUUUAAUUCUUUACUGCCGAAUUUAAUGUGUCCACAAUGAAUUUAAUUUGCUGAAUCAAUCCAUGUUGGUACAUCCUCCCUUGGACGGCAUUAAAGGAACUGCUGGUGUUUUUCAUGUGGCUAUUUAAUGGACGGUAAUUAAUUGAGAAGCAUGUACUUUGACUUGCAAUUAAGGAAGAGGCUGCUGAUUUCCUUUCUCCAAAACACCUUUUUCGUGUUCAACAAAAGCCUUAAAGGAGUCAUGCUGGUCGAAUUCAAUGUGCAGCAAAACAUGUAUUAAAGGAGCUGUCCAGCAUGCAAAGGACGUCCAUUAAUGAGCUGCUGAAGAUAGAAUGCAUGGAUAGCAUUAAAAGCUACUGAUUGCUCCUUUUUCCCAUAUGCCUUUUCGUGAAGAACAAUGGGCAAGAGUUAAUUACCAGCAGGUACAUGCUUGGAACAACAUUAAGGAGAGGAGAAUGAACCUGGCAUGCUUAUUCUGCUUAAGGCUCCUCGUGAGCAUCAAAAGACACCAUUCAAAGCUGUUCGUAUAGUUCAAUAGUCAGCCAAGCAUUGAAGACAUUCCAUGAAUCUUUCCAGCUGAGUUAACACCAUCUAGAAGCUGUCCAUUCAAGUCUUACAAGCUAAGAAACUUCCCUUGGACGUUCUAGGAAGCUACAUGGAAUUUUCCAGCCUAAUUAGCAUUUAUUUUGCUGACCAUUCAGCAUCUUUGCUUGUCUAUUCGGCUAGCCAAUGUCAUGGCUAUAUAUAGUUGAUUAAUUUUAUUGUAAAAGGACUUUUUGUCAAAUUUCUGAAUGAACUAUUGUGAGGAUUCUCCCUCUCAUAUUUUGUGUGAGUCUCGAUUUGGCUUAUUUAGCGUGCUAGUGUCGUCAACCGAACUCUUUCUGAACUUAUCACCAAUCCCGGUGUGGCGUUCAUCCAUUUCAAUAUACCUUCAGUUUUUACUUUGCUAAGUAACGGGUCGAGGUCUAUAUUCCUGUUUCCAUCUUUUCACCUUAAACCAUAUAAGAUUUGGGGCGAUACUCAUCAUAGUAUUGAAACUUUCUUGACGCUUAAGUUCUAUUAUCCAUCACCAUCAAUUACCUUUUCUAUCCUACCUUGUUUCUAUUCUAAACU
rnacentral:lncRNA from 1 species